UACGAAGGGGGCUAGCGUUGCUCGGAAUUAUUGGGCGUAAAGCGCACGUAGGCGGUUACUUAAGUCGGAUGUGAAAGCCCUUGGCUCAACCGAGGAAGUGCACCCGAAACUGAGUAGCUUGAGUACGAAAGAGGGUCGCGGAAUUCCCGGUGUAGAGGUGAAAUUCGUAGAUAUCGGGAGGAACACCGGUGGCGAAGGCGGCGACCUGGGUCGAUACUGACGCUGAGGUGCGAAAGCGUGGGGAGCAAACAGG
rnacentral:rRNA from 1 species